CUCUCUGCACAUCCUUGCUGGUUAUUUCAUGGUGGAUUGUGUUUUUUUGUUUGUUUGUUGUUUUUUCUGUCCUGGCUCCCCAUGGUUUUGUGGAGAAAUUAAGAGCUGGAUGAGCUUAAAAAGACUAACGGUCAAAAAGUCAGAAGACUACUUCACGAAACAAGCAAGAAUCAUCUUCUGAAGCUCCAGUCAUCGGCUCCCAUCCAGCAGCGAAAUGCCUCCAUUCUUCUCUAAGAUGCGAAGACGCAGACGGCUUUCGGAGAAGCGGCGUUAGCACUGAGAAGCAGGAUUUGUGGAUGGGGGCAUUCUCUCUUCACUUUGUGACAAAGGCAGG